rnacentral:rRNA from 1 species
AUGCAAGUCGAACGGUAACAGGCCCGCAAGGGUGCUGACGAGUGGCGGACGGGUGAGGAACACAUCGGAAUUUGCCCAUGUCGUGGGGGAUAACGUAGGGAAACUUACGCUAAUACCGCAUACGACCGGAAGGUGAAAGCGGGGGAUCCGUAAGGACCUCGCGCGAUUGGAUGAGCCGAUGUCGGAUUAGCUAGUUGGUAGGGUAAAGGCCUACCAAGGCGACGAUCCGUAGCUGGUCUGAGAGGAUGAUCAGCCACACUGGGACUGAGACACGGCCCAGACUCCUACGGGAGGCAGCAGUGGGGAAUAUUGGACAAUGGGGGCAACCCUGAUCCAGCAAUGCCGCGUGUGUGAAGAAGGCCUUCGGGUUGUAAAGCACUUUUAUCGGGAACGAAACAUUGUCGGUGAAUAUCCGGCAAGACUGACGGUACCCGAGGAAUAAGCACCGGCUAACUUCGUGCCAGCAGCCGCGGUAAUACGAAGGGUGCAAGCGUUACUCGGAAUUACUGGGCGUAAAGCGUGCGUAGGUGGUUUUUUAAGUCCGUUGUGAAAGCCCUGG